AUACGGAGGAUCCGAGCGUUAUCCGGAUUUAUUGGGUUUAAAGGGUGCGCAGGCGGCCAUUUAAGUCAGCGGUUAAAUCGUGGGGCUCAACCCCAUUCUGCCGUUGAUACUGGGUGGCUUGAUUGCGGUCGAGGUGGGCGGAAUUCGUUGUGUAGCGGGGAAAUGCAUAGAUAUGACGAAGAACACCGAUUGCGUAGGCAGCUGACCAGACCGCAAAUGACGCUCAUGCACGAAAGUGCGGGGAUCGAACAGGAUUAGAUACCCUGGUAGUCCGCACAGUAAACGAUGAAUACUUGUUUUCGGCGAUAUAAUGUCGGAGGCAAAGCGAAAGCGAUAAGUAUUCCACCUGGGGAGUACGCCGGCAACGGUGAAACUUAAAGGAAUUGACGGGG
rnacentral:rRNA from 1 species